UACGUAGGCAGCGAGCGUUGUUCGGAGUUACUGGGCGUAAAGAGUGCGUAGGCUGUGGUCCAAGUCUGGUGUGAAAUCUCCCGGCUCAACCGGGAGGGUGCGCCGGAAACUGGGCUGCUUGAGUGCCGGAGAGGCAGGCGGAAUUCCUGGUGUAGCGGUGAAAUGCGUAGAUAUCAGGAGGAACACCCGUGGUGUAGACGGCCUGCUGGACGGCAACUGACGCUGAGGCACGAAAGCGUGGGGAGCAAACAGG
rnacentral:rRNA from 2 species